GACGAACGCUGGCGGCGUGCUUAACACAUGCAAGUCGAACGCUGAAGCUCAGCUUGCUGGGUGGAUGAGUGGCGAACGGGUGAGUAACACGUGAGUAACCUGCCCUCUUCUUUGGGAUAACGCCCGGAAACGGGUGCUAAUACUGGAUAUUCACUGAUUCUCGCAUGGGGGUUGGUGGAAAGGUUUUUUCUGGUGGGGGAUGGGCUCGCGGCCUAUCAGCUUGUUGGUGGGGUGAUGGCCUACCAAGGCUUUGACGGGUAGCCGGCCUGAGAGGGUGACCGGUCACAUUGGGACUGAGAUACGGCCCAGACUCCUACGGGAGGCAGCAGUGGGGAAUAGUGCACAAUGGGCGAAAGCCUGAUGCAGCGACGCCGCGUGAGGGAUGGAGGCCUUCGGGGUGUAAACCUCUUUCGCUCAUGGUCAAGCCGCAGCUUUGGGUUGCGGUGAGGGUAGUGGGUAAAGAAGCGCCGGCUAACUACGUG
rnacentral:rRNA from 1 species